ACACCGAUUCACUUCAGUAUUCUGCAGAAGAAGAACAUCUGGCAGAAGAAGCGUCUACAUCACACUCACACAAAUAAGUGCUUUCUGGGAUCAUCUUUUUUGCAUGCUGCAUAAGAUGUGUGCUGUGAUGCUGAAAAAUGCCGUCUAGACACAGUAGGCAGCUCACUAGGUUUUGCAUGAACAAUUGAGCAUCUUUACAUCACUGCAUCAUUUGCAAGACAAGAUGCUGAAUCUGAACACACUUCUGUCAGUGCUGCAUAAUGAUGCAACUUUGAGAAAAGCACACUUCAUCUGCUCACGAAUGUGAAUGACACUCAUCUAUCUGGGAUGUGGUAUAUUCUGUGUGAGACGCUGGUUUGGGACGUCCUGUGCCUGGAGAUAAGAGGAGACGGCACGGCUCUUUCUCGCUGUGAUACACAUCAAACAUUCAUCCUGUCUUAUCAUCGCUGUUUGAGAAAAAUAGUCCAACAUGUCACCUUAGACAUGUUACGGCCGGGUUGAUUCAGUUUGCACAGGUGAAAGAAAGAAUCAAUGAUAAUAUCUGACACAGAACUGUCGGUGGUUUGGGACGUCCUGCGCCUGCAGAUAACAUGAGAUCGUCCAGCUCUUCCUCGAACAUUCAUCCCGUCUCAUCACUGUUUAUGAAAACAGUCGAGCGUCUCACGUGGAGAUGUUUCAGAGCGUGUCUGACUGAUGGAGGGGACGUGUAAAUCAAACCCGCUGUCCAUAAAAGAGCAGCACUGGAGACUGUGUGAAGUCGGCCCCUGCGGGACGUUGUUAAAACACUGCGCUCUGUUUGAUGUGUGCCAUUUCCAUGGCUUCUGUACGGCUUUCCAGUCUCUUUAAUUCACAGAGCCGUGUCAGCAUUCAGCCUCAAAUGUGUCUUUGAUUCGGAGAGGACCAGGGCUUUACUUCCACGCCUCGAGGACUUUAAUCCCUCAACCUCUUCUCUGCUCUUCUGUCUGUCUGACACAGAAAGGAUCUGAUUCUGCUGGACUCAACGAAGUGAUGCAACCACGUUCAUCAUCCAAGUGCAUUCAAAAACUC